UCGAGCGGAUGACGGGAGCUUGCUCCUUGAUUCAGCGGCGGACGGGUGAGUAUUGCCUAUUAAUCUGCCUGGUACUGGGGGACAACGUUUCGAAAGGAACGCUAAUACCGCAUACGUCCUACGGGAGAAAGCAGGGGACCUUCGGGCCUUGCGCUAUCAGAUGAGCCUAGGUCGGACUAGCUAGUUGGUGGGGUAAUGGCUCACCAAGGCGACGAUCCGUAACUGGUCUGAGAGGAUGAUCAGUCACACUGGAACUGAGACACGGUCCAGACUCCUACGGGAGGCAGCAGUGGGGAAUAUUGGACAAUGGGCGAAAGCCUGAUCCAGCCAUGCCGCGUGUGUGAAGA
rnacentral:rRNA from 1 species